rnacentral:rRNA from 1 species
CCUACGGGAGGCAGCAGUCGAGAAUCAUUCACAAUGGGGGAAACCCUGAUGGUGCGACGCCGCGUGGGGGAAUGAAGGUCUUCGGAUUGUAAACCCCUGUCAUGUGGGAGCAAAUUAAAAAGAUAGCACCACAAGAGGAAGAGACGGCUAACUCUGUGCCAGCAGCCGCGGUAAUACAGAGGUCUCAAGCGUUGUUCGGAAUCACUGGGCGGAAAGCGUGCGUAGGCUGUUUCGUAAGUCGUGUGUGAAAGGCGCGGGCUCAACCCGCGGACGGCACAUGAUACUGCGAGACUAGAGUAAUGGAGGGGGAACCGGAAUGCUCGGUGUAGCAGUGAAAUGCGUAGAUAUAGAGAGGAACACUCGUGGCGAAGGCGGGUUCCUGGACAUUAACUGACGCUGAGGCACGAAGGCCAGGGGAGCGAAAGGGAUUAGAUACCCUUGUAGUC